GCGAUUUUGGUCUAGUGGUACGAUACUCCCUUCGGGUUACACCAUCCGAUUGUAUUGAACAGUCUGGGAGUGGUCCUCGGUUCGAUUCCGGGAAGUCGCC